rnacentral:rRNA from 1 species
GAUGAACGCUGGCGGCGUGCCUAAUACAUGCAAGUCGAGCGAACAGACGAGGAGCUUGCUCCUCUGACGUUAGCGGCGGACGGGUGAGUAACACGUGGAUAACCUACCUAUAAGACUGGGAUAACUUCGGGAAACCGGAGCUAAUACCGGAUAAUAUAUUGAACCGCAUGGUUCAAUAGUGAAAGACGGUUUUGCUGUCACUUAUAGAUGGAUCCGCGCCGCAUUAGCUAGUUGGUAAGGUAACGGCUUACCAAGGCAACGAUGCGUAGCCGACCUGAGAGGGUGAUCGGCCACACUGGAACUGAGACACGGUCCAGACUCCUACGGGAGGCAGCAGUAGGGAAUCGUGCGCAAUGGGCGAAAGCCUGACGGAGCAACGCCGCGUGAGUGAUGAAGGGCUUCGGAUCGUAAAACUCUGUUAUUAGGGAAGAACAAAUGUGUAAGUAACUAUGCACGUCUUGACGGUACCUAAUCAGAAAGCCACGGCUAACUACGUG